AGGCGGAAGUUUUCGGAUGGAAGCUUGUAAACUUAGUGGCGGACGGGUGAGUAACACGUGAGCAACCUGCCUAUCAGAGGGGGAUAACGAUUGGAAACGAUCGCUAAUACCGCAUGACAUAGCGGAACCGCAUGGUUUGUUAUCAAGAUUUAUCGCUGAUAGAUGGGCUCGCGUCCGAUUAGAUAGUUGGUGGGUAACGGCCUACCAAGUCGACGAUCGGUAGCCGGACUGAGAGGUCGAACGGCCACAUUGGGACUGAGACACGGCCCAGACUCC
rnacentral:rRNA from 1 species